GGCUCAUUAAAUCAGUUAUCGUUUAUUUGAUAGUACCUUGCUACAUGGAUACCUGUGGUAAUUCUAGAGCUAAUACAUGCUAAAAACCUCGACUUCGGAAGGGGUGUAUUUAUUAGAUAAAAAACCAAUGCCCUUCGGGGCUCCUUGGUGAUUCAUAAUAACUUAACGAAUCGCAUGGCCUUGCGCCGGCGAUGGUUCAUUCAAAUUUCUGCCCUAUCAACUUUCGAUGGUAGGAUAGUGGCCUACCAUGGUGGCAACGGGUAACGGGGAAUUAGGGUUCGAUUCCGGAGAGGGAGCCUGAGAAACGGCUACCACAUCCAAGGAAGGCAGCAGGCGCGCAAAUUACCCAAUCCCGACACGGGGAGGUAGUGACAAUAAAUACUGAUACAGGGCUCUUUUGGGUCUUGUAAUCGGAAUGAGUACAAUCUAAAUCCCUUAACGAGGAACAAUUGGAGGGCAAGUCUGGUGCCAGCAGCCGCGGUAAUUCCAGCUCCAAUAGCGUAUAUUAAAGUUGUUGCAGUUAAAAAGCUCGUAGUUGAACCUUGGGUCUGGCUGGCCGGUCCGCCUCACCGCGAGUACUGGUCCGGCUGGACCUUUCCUUCUGGGGAACCCCAUGGCCUUCACUGGCCGUGGCGGGGAACCAGGACUUUUACUGUGAAAAAAUUAGAGUGUUCAAAGCAGGCCUUUGCUCGAAUACAUUAGCAUGGAAUAAUAGAAUAGGACGUGCGGUUCUAUUUUGUUGGUUUCUAGGACCGCCGUAAUGAUUAAUAGGGAUAGUCGGGGGCGUCAGUAUUCAGCUGUCAGAGGUGAAAUUCUUGGAUUUGCUGAAGACUAACUACUGCGAAAGCAUUCGCCAAGGAUGUUUUCAUUAAUCAGGGAACGAAAGUUAGGGGAUCGAAGACGAUCAGAUACCGUCGUAGUCUUAACCAUAAACUAUGCCGACUAGGGAUCGGACGGUGUUCUAUGAUGACCCGUUCGGCACCUUACGAGAAAUCAAAGUUUUUGGGUUCUGGGGGGAGUAUGGUCGCAAGGCUGAAACUUAAAGAAAUUGACGGAAGGGCACCACAAGGCGUGGAGCCUGCGGCUUAAUUUGACUCAACACGGGGAAACUCACCAGGUCCAGACAAAAUAAGGAUUGACAGAUUGAGAGCUCUUUCUUGAUCUUUUGGAUGGUGGUGCAUGGCCGUUCUUAGUUGGUGGAGUGAUUUGUCUGCUUAAUUGCGAUAACGAACGAGACCUCGGCCCUUAAAUAGCCCGGUCCGCGUUUGCGGGCCGCUG
rnacentral:rRNA from 1 species